rnacentral:tRNA from 1 species
CAAAGGUUAGUUUAAUUUUUAAAAUAAUAGUUUUGGGAAUUGUUGAUGAUUUUCUUCUCCUUUGA